UUUCAUACCAGAGUGUGAGGGAGUCAGCAUUUCCAGUAUUUAUGGACGCGAUGGGGCCCCUAUUUGGUCUUCCUGGAAACCACCGCCACAGGGAGGGUGGGAAGUGGGAAACAGACCCCUAGGGACAGGGGCAGCCCUGACCUUUCCCUCCUGUCAGCACUCUGAAAACUUUUUGUAUUCACAUGAGACCAGUUAGAGAGAGCCCACCACACCCCAUCACACCCCAACCGCCAUUCGUCAGCAAGCCAACAAACACUUGGAGCAGAAAGCAGAAACAGGACCUGAACAGGAAAAGUCCAAGGAAGGACUUGGAUGCACAAGUCCCUCUGGUUGUGCCCUGCCGCACACGGAUGACCACACACAAGGAAAAUAUUGAGUUUGAGCCGCUAUUUCCUAUGUGACCUUGGACAACUUGCUUCACCUCUCCGUGCUUUGUUUGCUCCAAAGAAAUGCAGACAAGUGACCCCUUCAGAGCACAGGUCCUUGGGAGGACUUGGUCUUCACUGCAGCUGGCAGGAAAGAGCCACAAGUCACAUGGUGCCAGAUCUGGUGAACAAGGAGAAGAGGACAAGCUGUACUGUUUUUGACAAUCUGCCUUCCUAUUGGGUGGCCUUUAUCAGUGGUCUGUAGCAGAGUUUUGAUCACACCUGGUAAAGACACUCAUGAAAGAGCACUUCCAGAACUGCUUCGGAAAGUGGCAAGAUGAUGGGAUCAGUGUGUUGGAAAGAGGAGGAUUUUGAAGGGGAUGAAUGGUAAGGUGUCUUUUACUGUAGUAUAUUUUUUAACUGAGACAUUCACCAUAUAUUUUGAUUACUCCUCGUAUUUGAAGUUUACAGUUUAUGUGAGUAGGAGGCUAGCAUAUCAUGCAUAGCCCCUGGCUGUCCAGGGAUAGCAGCGUUUGGCUUGAGGCCACUCUAAGUUCAUGUACCCCGGCCACUUGCUGAUCUGUUCUGUGGAGCCCAGGAGAACAUGGGGCCGAGGGCUGAGCCAGAGUUUGAAGCACACACCCAGCAUCGCGUGGGCAGCACAGCCCGAAGGGCUCCAUAAAUCCACAGUGACAAGCCCUGCACGGUCACCACGACCCCAGUGGAGCCUGGGGACAACAUUUCCUUUCCUGUCUGUUGCCUGCAGAUGCAGCCAGCCAGGGGAAAGACACUAUUCCCAGAUGUGUGUGUUGGAACAGCAGAGGAGAGAGAGGAGGAUGUGAGGCUGUAGGCCUGUCGUGCGAAGGCGAGGUGCCAGGCUGUGGAGAGCCCAAGGUGACAUCUGACGUGCAGGAAGGAAACCCAGAGAGGUCACGGUUUGGCCAUCUGCUGUGACAAGCAGAUGAACCCGACGUCUGGUGGACAUCCUUCAGGCUCUGGGCUCUGAGAGCUCUCUGCUCCUUCCUCUCCCUUGGGGCUCAUUUGUGGUCCCUGACUUGUGCAGUCCACACCCAGGCAUCAGGACAGGUCACUGUCCAGGCUCUUGGCCAGAUGUUGGUUAUACUGCAGAGUCACCAGGCUGGGGACCCAAAGAAGUCCCAUUCACCAGCCACUGUCUUAGAUCUGGACACCUGGAGUCCAGUCUACUGCUCUGCUAGGUUUUUUUUUUUUUUUUUUUUUCCUUCAAAUGCCUCCAGUAACAAGGAGCUCACACCCUAUCAAAAACACUUUAAAUUCAGAACUUGCAAGGAAUCCAGUGUUUGGCUCAAGGCAUGGCUACAUCAUGCCUUUUGUUUAUCUGGUACAGACCUAGCUCCCUUUUCCUGAUUGGCUUCUCAAUUGCCAGGGUGUGGAAAGGUCCUCUUUCUUGAAGGAACUCCAAAGAAGCAUUUGUGGUUGAUUGACAGCUGGUAGUCAACUUGUAACACCCAGCUGAGGUGAAUCAGCGUGGUGCUGGGUGUGGAGGGCACCUGAGGAUGGCUGCCAACAGCAUAAAAUGGAGAACUGGACAGGAAGAGGCGGUGUUACUGGUUCUCCUGUUAACACUGGUUUUCCUGAAGAAGCUUGUCGCGCUGGUUUCCUGAUAUGAACCUGGCUGUUCUCAUUGUCAGAGGAGCUUGGGGCCUCACUGUCAAUGAGAAUGGCUGAGGUUCAUUUUGGGGGAGCUCUGGUCUUUACCGCUUCCUGGUUCCAGAGAGGAAGAUGGUGUGCGGUUCAAUCUCCAGGAGAAGCUUGUCACGAUGGCUUAGUGAUAUGAACUCAGCUGUUCUCAUCAUCGGAGGAGUUUGGGAUCUGUUGUCACUGAGGAUGGCUGUGGUACUUUUCAGGGGAGCUCUGGUCCUUUCUUUGAGCAUUGCUUCCUGGCUCCAGUGCAGAUUCCUCAGCGGCUGGCACAGAACCUUCAUCCCACUGGCACAGGCUUUCUAGCUUUCACUGCUGACCUUUGGGCCUUCCCAGUGCAGAUCCAUGAAAUAGAUUUUCAUGCAACAUUGUCAUGGGCUCUAGGUCUUCAGCUGGACUCCUGUAGGACAUUGCUAUGAGCUCCAGUUCCUCACCUGGAUUCUUUAGGUCUUCAACGUGUGGACAGGUUUCCUGCACUUGUGUUUGACUCUUUAGGUAUGUUAUAACCUAUAUAUUAAAAACCCCUCAUAAGUCUCCUCGGAGGCAAGAAAAGAUCAAAGGUAACUCUAAGAACAGAACAGGAUGUCUUCCUAAUCUAAACUUGCUUGUUUGCAGGGAAAUUUGCUUGUUUGCAGGAUGUCCUUCCCCCAGAGGAUGUUUGCCUAAUCUAAACUUGCUUGUUAGCCCAACCCUUACCUGAACCUUGCUCUUCCCAAGAAAUGUAAUCGCUGUGUUCCUGUUCUGUAGUGCGGCACAAACCCACCCCCCUCCUUGCAUUGUGAGACCAGUAGCUGUUUGCGGUUUUACAAGAUAAAAAUCCUGCGCUUUAGUUGUUAGGCGUGCAGUCUUCCAUAUUGGCUACCGGAGGCUGCGUCGUCAGGCCUGGCCUAAAAUAAAGCCUUUGCUCCAAAUUUCUUAA